AGAGUUUGAUCCUGGCUCAGAAUCAACGCUGGCGGCGUGCCUAACACAUGCAAGUCGAACGAGAAAGGGGCUUCGGCCCUGAGUAAAGUGGCGCACGGGUGAGUAACACGUGACUAACCUACCCUUGAGUGGGGGAUAGCCGAGGGAAACCUUGAUUAAUACCGCAUAAUACCUACGGGUCAAAGGAGCAAUUCGCUUAAGGAGGGGGUCGCGGCCGAUUAGUUAGUUGGCGGGGUAAUGGCCCACCAAGACAGUGAUCGGUAUCCGGCCUGAGAGGGCGCACGGACACACUGGAACUGAAACACGGUCCAGACUCCUACGGGAGGCAGCAGUGGGGAAUUUUGCGCAAUGGGGGAAACCCUGACGCAGCAACGCCGCGUGGAGGAUGAAGUCUCUUGGGACGUAAACUCCUUUCGAUCGGGACGAUAAUGACGGUACCGAGAGAAGAAGCCCCGGCUAACUUCGUGCCAGCAGCCGCGGUAAUACGAGGGGGGCGAGCGUUGUUCGGAAUUAUUGGGCGUAAAGGGUGCGUAGGCGGUUCGGCAAGUCUUGUGUGAAAUCUUCGGGCUCAACUCGAAGUCUGCACUAGAAACUGCCGGGCUUGAGUGUGGGAGAGGUGAGUGGAAUUUCCGGUGUAGCGGUGAAAUGCGUAGAUAUCGGAAGGAACACCUGUGGCGAAAGCGGCUCACUGGACCACAACUGACGCUGAGGCACGAAAGCUAGGGGAGCGAAACAGGAUUAGAUACCCUAGUAGUCC
rnacentral:rRNA from 1 species